rnacentral:rRNA from 1 species
UACGUAGGGGGCAAGCGUUGUCCGGAUUUACUGGGCGUAAAGAGCGUGUAGGCGGCCACGCAGGUCCGUUGUGAAAACUGGAGGCUCAACCUCCAGACGUCGACGGAAACCGUAUGGCUAGAGUCCGGAAGAGGAGAGUGGAAUUCCUGGUGUAGCGGUGAAAUGCGCAGAUAUCAGGAAGAACACCAAUGGCGAAGGCGGGUUGCUGGGCCAACACUGACGCUGAGGCGCGAAAGCUAGGGUAGCAAACGGG